rnacentral:rRNA from 1 species
CUGGGCGGCGUGGCUAUACAUGCAAGUCGAGCGAACUGAUUAGAAGCUUGCUUCUAUGACGUUAGCGGCGGACGGGUGAGUAACACGUGGGCAACCUGCCUGUAAGACUGGGAUAACUUCGGGAAACCGAAGCUAAUACCGGAUAGGAUCUUCUCCUUCAUGGGAGAUGAUUGAAAGAUGGUUUCGGCUAUCACUUACAGAUGGGCCCGCGGUGCAUUAGCUAGUUGGUGAGGUAACGGCUCACCAAGGCAACGAUGCAUAGCCGACCUGAGAGGGUGAUCGGCCACACUGGGACUGAGACACGGCCCAGACUCCUACGGGAGGCAGCAGUAGGGAAUCUUCCGCAAUGGACGAAAGUCUGACGGAGCAACGCCGCGUGAGUGAUGAAGGCUUUCGGGUCGUAAAACUCUGUUGUUAGGGAAGAACAAGUACGAGAGUAACUGCUCGUACCUUGACGGUACCUAACCAGAAAGCCACGGCUAACUACGUGCCAGCAGCCGCGGUAAUACGUAGGUGGCAAGCGUUAUCCGGAAUUAUUGGGCGUAAAGCGCGCGCAGGCGGUUUCUUAAGUCUGAUGUGAAAGCCCACGGCUCAACCGUGGAGGGUCAUUGGAAACUGGGGAACUUGAGUGCAGAAGAGAAAAGCGGAAUUCCACGUGUAGCGGUGAAAUGCGUAGAGAUGUGGAGGAACACCAGUGGCGAAGGCGGCUUUUUGGUCUGUAACUGACGCUGAGGCGCGAAGCGUGGGGAGCAAACAGGAUUAGAUACCCUGGUAGUCCACGCCGUAAACGAUGAGUGCUAAGUGUUAGAGGGUUUCCGCCCUUUAGUGCUGCAGCUAACGCAUUAAGCACUCCGCCUGGGGAGUACGGUCGCAAGACUGAAACUCAAAGGAAUUGACGGGGGCCCGCACAAGCGGUGGGAGCAUGUGGUUUAAUUCGAAAGCAACGCGAAGAACCUUACCCAGGUCUUGACAUCCUCUGACACUCUAGAGAUAGAGCGUUUCCCCCUUCGGGACAGAGUGACAGGUGGUGCAUGCUGUCGUCAGCUCGUGUCGUGAGAUGUUGGGGUUAAGUUUG